rnacentral:rRNA from 1 species
UAUAGAGGUCUCAAGCGUUGUUCGGAUUCAUUGGGCGUAAAGGGUGCGCAGGCGGCGCGGUAAGUCGGGUGUGAAAUCUCGGAGCUUAACUCCGAAACUGCAUUCGAUACUGCCGUGCUUGAGGACUGGAGAGGAGACUGGAAUUUACGGUGUAGCGGUGAAAUGCGUAGAUAUCGUAAGGAAGACCAGUGGCGAAGGCGGGUCUCUGGACAGUUCCUGACGCUGAGGCACGAAGGUCAGGGGAGCAAACAGG